UAGAUAAAAGCCCCAGUUUCCAGAUUGUCUGCAACUGCACCUGUGAAAGCUACACAGUUUGCUCAGACAAAAUGAGACUUUCAGUUGUCCUGUUCCUUGUUGCCAGUUUUGGGAGGUUGGAAGGUGAUCCGUCUCCUCGGAGAACACCAUGGUCUUAAAAACACUCUCCCCUGAGGGGCAGAGUUAUUUAGAUCAUCCUGUUUGCGUAUGGAUAUUUGCGUACCGGACUGGAGACUUUGACGCGCUGAAUGUUUGACAAGAGCUGGACGGCAGUUGCAGUCAGCAAGGAGUACCAGCAGGAAACAAUGUAAUAUACUGCUGUGGAUGAGGGAGCAACAGAGUGUAUUUGAGUCACCU